rnacentral:rRNA from 1 species
GAACGCUGGCGGCAUGCNUAACACAUGCAAGUCGAACGAGAUCUUCGGAUCUAGUGGCGCACGGGUGCGUAACGCGUGGGGAUCUNCCAUAGGGUGCGGAAUAACUCAGAGAAAUNNGAGCUAAUACCGCAUAAUGUCUUCGGACCAAAGAUUUAUCGCCCNANGAUGNNCCCGCGUAGGAUUAGCUAGUUGGUGAGGUAANGGCUCACCAAGGCGACGAUCCNUAGCUGGUCUGAGAGGAUGAUCAGCCACACUGGGACUGAGACACGGCCCAGACUCCUACGGGAGGCAGCAGUGGGGAAUAUUGGACAAUGGGCGAAAGCCUGAUCCAGCAAUGCCGCGUGAGUGAUGAAGGCCUUAGGGUUGUAAAGCUCUUUUANCCAGGGAUGA